UGGGGAAUCUUGCACAAUGGGGGAAACCCUGAUGCAGCGACGCCGCGUGAGCGAUGAAGUCCUUCGGGGCGUAAAGCUCUUUCAGUGGGAACGAUAAUGACGGUACCCACAGAAGAAGCUGCGGCUAACUACGUGCCAGCAGCCGCGGUAAUACGUAGGCAGCGAGCGUUGUUCGGAGUUACUGGGCGUAAAGAGUGCGUAGGCGGUUCCGUAAGUCUGGUGUGAAAUCUCCUGGCUCAACUGGGAGGGUGCGCCGGAAACUGCGGAGCUUGAGCACGGGAGAGGAAAGCGGAAUUCCUGGUGUAGCGGUGAAAUGCGUAGAUAUCAGGAGGAACACCGGUGGUGUAGACGGCUUUCUGGACCGUUGCUGACGCUGAGGCACGAAAGCGUGGGGAGCAAACAGGAUUAGAUACCCUGGUAGUCCACGCCCUAAACGAUGCAUACUUGGUGUGGGCACUUCAGUGUGUCCGUGCCGGAGCUAACGCGUUAAGUAUGCCGCCUGGGGAGUACGGUCGCAAGGCUG
rnacentral:rRNA from 1 species